AAGAUUGAGGAUGAACACGGAUGCGGCCACUUUCGUUUUUGACAAAAACCAUCUGAAAAGUGACAUUUUUUCGCAUAUUUGGUAGAUUUCUCAUAUUUGAGCCUUAAUCGGAUCGUUUUUAAUGACUAAAUAAGUUGAAAUCUUUCACAUUUAUAAAUUAAUUGCAUCAUAUGAAAUAGACACUUAAGUGUUUAAAAAGUGGUCAAAAUCUUUCGUCAGAUGAAACUGAAAUUUGAGGCCAAAAUCGGUCCUUACCGGACCUACUCCUUUAGAUCAAAGUGAAAGACUUGACAGUCUUAUGUGAUUCUAAAAAAAAGCAAUCUAUAACAAAUGUAUGCUCUUAUCAGGGUUCCCCUUUGGCCAAUUUUCUUUUUCACCGCCUCUUUCCCCAAAGCAAUACAUUUUUUACACUUUUAAUUAUUAUUUUUCCAACUUACAACUAACAUGACUAACAAAAACAUUUUUCGUUGAAAUUUUCAUUCUUUUAAAAAAAUAAUCACUUUUCCCC
rnacentral:lncRNA from 1 species